rnacentral:misc_RNA from 1 species
CCUUGGCUCAAAUAAGGUUCCUAAUUGUACCGAGGUUAGGAUAUUCUCCAUUUUUCUUAGUAACUGGAGCACAUCCAGUGGUUCCUGCAGUUCAAUUAGAUUCAAAUAUGCAAAAUGCUCCUACAUCAGUUAAUGAACUGGUAAAUACAGUUACUGAUGCGUUAGAAAAAGUUAGAGUCCAACAAUUUGAAAGUCAUUUAAAGAAUAGAGAGGCUUAUAAUAAAAAAGUAGUCCAACAGGUAAUUAAUGUUGACGAUGAGGUGUUUUUGUGGGCACCACAAACUGACAAGAAUCGUAAAUUGGCUACUUAUCAAAACGGACCAUUUAAGGUUCUAAAGGUAAUAAACGACAGAAUGGUUGAGAUUAGAACAAACAAGGGUCCUAAAAAAGUAGCUAAGGACAGACUACGGGUAAUAUCGGGAAAAGAUAUUUCUAAAGAAUUGAUUCCCUUUAAUACACCUCUCUAUAGAACAGAAAGAAAUAGACCUUCAGACUCUAGACUAACGGAAGAGAACGAAAGUAAUCAUUUAGAUCGAGUAAUUCAAUUUUCAUAUCCUGAUUCUCCUGAAAUUCAAACAAUUCCUAAGAUUUCUACAUCCGUAAGUAAUAAAGAUAUAGAAGAUCUUCCAAAAAAAAGGGAUGAUGAGGAGGAGAAUGGAAAACAAGAGGAUAAAAAUGAAAAUGGUAAUAUGGAUGAACUCGAGGAAGUAUAUAUGAGUGAAGCAGGAGCGGAAGAAAUAAGAAAAGAAGUAAGGAAUAUGGAAGAAUCGCCCAAUAAGAUGCAAGGAUCUGUUGAGAAGAAGAAUAAAAAACGAAAAGCAACGCCUGAAUAUAAACAGAAGUCAAAGAAAUUAUUAAGUGCCGCCUUUGAUGAACUAGCUGCGUUGCUAGAUGGGAAAACACGCCCUAAGUCAUAUAAAAGGAAACCAGUCAGCCCCCACGCACAAGGUAAAAAGGAAUCGCGUAUAGAGUCAAGCGAAGCGAAGCGAAGCGAAGGGGAACAGACUGAAAGAGAACUAGAAGAUACAAGUAAUAUAUCUUCUACAGAUGUUCCACAGGAGAAAGAGGGCGAGGAAAAUAGUUUUCCUUAAAAAGGAAUAAUUCUUCAAGUUAAUUCAGAAAGUGAAAUUAAUGGAAAGGAAGAACUCGUCAAUUCUAUUCGAGGAAAUGGGUAGAGUGGGAACUUCAGUACAAUUGAUAGAGGUCAGGACGGAAUUACCAAUGGUUAAAAUCAACAGAAGAAUUGAAAACGUCCUGGGGAGUAUGCAUGCUACAAUUAAGUAUAUGAACAUUGUGCGUAUUCCCAAGUCAUUGACGAAUGCUCUACAACAAAGAAUAGAAUAUAUCCGCACACACAUGAAUGAAGUAAUGAUGUUAUGUGGGUAUAAGAAUGACGGAAAAACGAAAAGGCAAGUGAUAGUGGGCCUCGGAGUAUUGGGAGGCUGGAUGCUUAAGGGGUUGUUCACAAAGUUCUUCUCAAGUGAUGAUCACUCAAGGUAUGAAUCAGAGAUAUUGGAUACCUUGGCACAGCAAGAAGAAGAACUAAGGGCAAUCCGUGGAGCAAUAAGAAACUUAGCCACAAAGUAUGAUAUCCUUAAGAAUGUCACAAUGAUGCUUCACAAUCAGCUACAAGAAGUAGAAAGGGUUGAAACAAUGAUAAUGGUGUUGACAACAAUCUCAGAACAGAUCAACAAAUGGAUCAGGGGAAUACAGGCUGGUAUGACCGGGAGAUUAACACCAGACUUGUUAUCAAUCAAUGAUGUGGGGAAGAUCUUGGAUAUGGUAAAAGAAAGGAAUCAUGAUGGAUCAAUCAGUCCAGUUGAAAGUGAGAGUAUUGGGAAUUUUUACUCUCUGCCUGUGCAACUGGAAAGAACGGCAAACGGAUUAGAUGUGGCGGUUCGAUUACCCUUAUAUUACAAAGAUAAUCUAUACGAGUUAUAUAAGUAUAGGGAACUCCCGAUGACAAUAGAAGAAGGAGUUCGGAUGUCAUAUCGAUCACCAAUAGGAAAAUAUUUAGUGAUUGAUGACAUAAAGGGUUGUUCAGAAUUGGACAAAAUGGUUGUUUGCCUGCAUUGAUUCAUGGUAACUUUAAAUUGGCUAAGGGAUUAUGUGACAUAAUGUUACAUAAAUCGGAUGACGUGUUUGUGUCGCAAAUCAACGAUGGAAAAAUAUUCGUGGAUGUGCAGAAGACACAAAUGAUCAAAGCGUCAUGUACAAGUGGUUCUGGUAGGACAACAAAACGUCGAGAAGCACUUGGGUCCGGACAAUGGAUGAUCACAUUGCGGAAUGAUUGCAAUGUGAGGAUUGGUGAUUACUUGAUUGGAGAAAGACCAGUGACAAGUAAGAUCAAGGUGAGGGUCGUGGAAAUGAUGAUUCUGGAUGAGGUGGAAGAUGUUAUUGCGGAUUUAAACCUCCAUGAAAGCUGGGUUUAUGGUAAUGGACAAUCAAGCCUCAAGGACAAGCUAGAAUUAUUGACGGAACCUCAGAAAGCAAUAUCUAUAGACAAGUUGAGGAUAAUGGCAAGAACUGCCAGGGUUGAAGAGAAUCGUUUUUGGAUUUACGGUAUAGUGGUUAUUGAAACCUUAUUAAUCAUUAUAUUUUCAGGAUUCUUUGUGACGUUGCUCUGUAAGGUACGAGCUAGAAGAGCUGUACAGGAGUGAGUUAAAUCCUGAAGGGCCGUAUAUCGGGAAAGAAAGACGAGGUCGUCUUUUCCUCAAGGAGGGAGCAUCUGUAGUAUCACCAACUGGAUGUAUUAUGUAUCAUGGUGUGAAUGAUAGUUAUUAUUGUAUAUAUAUAUUUCUCAGAUUUAAGCUAUUAUGAGUUAUUGUUAUUUUAAUAUUAUGUAUGGUGAUAAAUGAUGUGUUGAGAGGUUUAUUGCUGAGUUGUGUGUCUGGAUAUGAGACGCGUAUGAUGAGAAUCACCAAGGCCAAACAUCACAUGCUGGGAGCAGGUGAUGAGGUGAAUUGGAGAGUUCUAGAACAACUAGCAUUAUACCCCAAACGUCUAUAAAUAUAUGUUAUGAUGUAUGUAGGAGACUUAAUCGCCAGAUUAUCUCCGAAGAACUAAGUAAUAAAUAAGGCAGUGUGCAAACGUACUACGUGAUUCUUAUUAUCAACCCUAAACUCCAAAACAACAACUUAAGGUAGGCCUAAUAGUUAUCCCAUUGAACACAGCGGUGUUCUCAUUUGACUCCCACUAAAUUGUAUCCUGAGAAGGAAUGCUUAUCAAAUAUUGAUCUUAUAUUAAUCCAAACUAAAAAAUAUAAGUAAACUUUGUAGUAGCCUUUUCCACGAUUGCUAGAAAA